rnacentral:rRNA from 1 species
GACGAACGCUGGCGGCGUGCCUAACACAUGCAAGUCGAACGGAAAGGCCCUGCUCUUGUGGGGUUCUUGUUUGGCGAACGGGUGAGUAACACGCGUGUAACCCCCCCUUGUCUUUCGGAUAACUUUAGGAAACAGGGUAUAAUACCGGAUAUAAUCUUCUGCUGCGCGGUGUGGGUUGGAAAGUUUCGGCGGUUGGGGCUCGACGCGCUGGUUAUCAGCUUGUUGGUCAGGUAGGUGAGUACCAAGGCUUUGACGGAUAGCCGGCCUGAGAGGGGGGACGGGCACCUGGGGACUGAGGGACGGACCAGACUGCUACGGGAGGCAGCGGGCGGGAGUAUUGCAGAAUGAGGGGAAGCCUGAUGCAGCGACGCCGCGUGCGGGAUAACGGCCUUCGGGUUGUAAACAUCUUUCGCCUGUGACGAAGCGUGAGUGACGGUAAUGGGUAAAGAAGCACCGGCUAACUACGUG